rnacentral:tRNA from 1 species
GGUGGGUAUUGCCUGUCGGUACAGGACCGGGCCUGAGACACCCGGAGUCGGGAGAGAACCCUCCCGGCUGUGGUUCGACUCCACUGCCCACCG